ACUAAGCGUACACGGUGGAUGCCCUGGCAGUCAGAGGCGAUGAAGGACGUGCUAAUCUGCGAAAAGCGUCGGUAAGGUGAUAUGAACCGUUACAGCCGGCGAUGUCCGAAUGGGGAAACCCAGUGCAAUUCGUUGCACUAUCGUUAACUGAAUACAUAGGUUAACGAGGCGAACCGGGGGAACUGAAACAUCUAAGUACCCCGAGGAAAAGAAAUCAACCGAGAUUCCCCCAGUAGCGGCGAGCGAACGGGGAGCAGCCCGGAGUCUGAAUCAGCUUGUGUGUUAGUGGAAGCGUCUGGAAAGUCGCAGGGUACAGGGUGAUACUCCCGUACACUAAAACGCACAGGCUGUGAACUCGAAGAGUAGGGCGGGACACGUGGUAUCCUGUCUGAAUAUGGGGGGACCAUCCUCCAAGGCUAAAUACUCCUGACUGACCGAUAGUGAACCAGUACCGUGAGGGAAAGGCGAAAAGAACCCCGGCGAGGGGAGUGAAAAAGAACCUGAAACCGUGUACGUACAAGCAGUAGGAGCCCACUAGUUGGGUGACUGCGUACCUUUUGUAUAAUGGGUCAGCGACUUAUAUUCUGUAGCAAGGUUAACCGUAUAGGGGAGCCGCAGGGAAACCGAGUCUUAACUGGGCGUUAAGUUGCAGGGUAUAGACCCGAAACCCGGUGAUCUAGCCAUGGGCAGGUUGAAGGUUGGGUAACACUAACUGGAGGACCGAACCGACUAAUGUUGAAAAAUUAGCGGAUGACUUGUGGCUGGGGGUGAAAGGCCAAUCAAACCGGGAGAUAGCUGGUUCUCCCCGAAAGCUAUUUAGGUAGCGCCUCGUGAAUUCAUCUUCGGGGGUAGAGCACUGUUUCGGCUAGGGGGUCAUCCCGACUUACCAACCCGAUGCAAACUACGAAUACCGAAGAAUGUUAUCACGGGAGACACACGGCGGGUGCUAACGUCCGUCGUGAAGAGGGAAACAACCCAGAUCGCCAGCUAAGGUCCCAAAGUCAUGGUUAAGUGGGAAACGAUGUGGGAAGGCCCAGACAGCCAGGAUGUUGGCUUAGAAGCAGCCAUCAUUUAAAGAAAGCGUAAUAGCUCACUGGUCGAGUCGGCCUGCGCGGAAGAUGUAACGGGGCUAAACCAUGCACCGAAGCUGCGGCAGCGACACUAUGUGUUGUUGGGUAGGGGAGCGUUCUGUAAGCCGUUGAAGGUGGCCUGUGAGGGUUGCUGGAGGUAUCAGAAGUGCGAAUGCUGACAUAAGUAACGAUAAUGCGGGUGAAAAACCCGCACGCCGGAAGACCAAGGGUUCCUGUCCAACGUUAAUCGGGGCAGGGUGAGUCGACCCCUAAGGCGAGGCCGAAAGGCGUAGUCGAUGGGAAACAGGUUAAUAUUCCUGUACUUGGUGUUACUGCGAAGGGGGGACGGAGAAGGCUAUGUUGGCCGGGCGACGGUUGUCCCGGUUUAAGCAUGUAGGCGGAUGUUCCAGGUAAAUCCGGAACGUUACUAACGCUGAGGUGUGAUGACGAGGCACUACGGUGCUGAAGUGACAAAUGCCCUGCUUCCAGGAAAAGCCUCUAAGCAUCAGGUAACAUCAAAUCGUACCCCAAACCGACACAGGUGGUCAGGUAGAGAAUACCAAGGCGCUUGAGAGAACUCGGGUGAAGGAACUAGGCAAAAUGGUGCCGUAACUUCGGGAGAAGGCACGCUGAUGGUAAGUGAAGCGACUUGCUCGUGGAGCUGAAAUCAGUCGAAGAUACCAGCUGGCUGCAACUGUUUAUUAAAAACACAGCACUGUGCAAACACGAAAGUGGACGUAUACGGUGUGACGCCUGCCCGGUGCCGGAAGGUUAAUUGAUGGGGUUAUCCUCGCGGAGAAGCUCUUGAUCGAAGCCCCGGUAAACGGCGGCCGUAACUAUAACGGUCCUAAGGUAGCGAAAUUCCUUGUCGGGUAAGUUCCGACCUGCACGAAUGGCGUAAUGAUGGCCAGGCUGUCUCCACCCGAGACUCAGUGAAAUUGAACUCGCUGUGAAGAUGCAGUGUACCCGCGGCAAGACGGAAAGACCCCGUGAACCUUUACUAUAGCUUGACACUGAACACUGGUCCUUGAUGUGUAGGAUAGGUGGGAGGCUUUGAAGUGUGGACGCCAGUCUGCAUGGAGCCAUCCUUGAAAUACCACCCUUUAAUGGCUGGUGUUCUAACGUGGGCCCGUGAUCCGGGUUGCGGACAGUGUCUGGUGGGUAGUUUGACUGGGGCGGUCUCCUCCUAAAGAGUAACGGAGGAGCACGAAGGUCAGCUAAUCCUGGUCGGACAUCAGGAGGUUAGUGCAAUGGCAUAAGCUGGCUUGACUGCGAGCGUGACGGCGCGAGCAGGUGCGAAAGCAGGUCAUAGUGAUCCGGUGGUUCUGAAUGGAAGGGCCAUCGCUCAACGGAUAAAAGGUACUCCGGGGAUAACAGGCUGAUACCGCCCAAGAGUUCAUAUCGACGGCGGUGUUUGGCACCUCGAUGUCGGCUCAUCACAUCCUGGGGCUGAAGUAGGUCCCAAGGGUAUGGCUGUUCGCCAUUUAAAGUGGUACGCGAGCUGGGUUUAGAACGUCGUGAGACAGUUCGGUCCCUAUCUGCCGUGGGCGCUGGAGAAUUGAGGGGGGCUGCUCCUAGUACGAGAGGACCGGAGUGGACGCAUCACUGGUGUUCGGGUUGUCAUGCCAAUGGCAUUGCCCGGUAGCUAAAUGCGGAAGAGAUAAGUGCUGAAAGCAUCUAAGCACGAAACUUGCCCCGAGAUGAGUUCUCCCUGACUCCUUGAGAGUCCUGAAGGAACGUUGAAGACGACGACGUUGAUAGGCCGGGUGUGUAAGCGCAGCGAUGCGUUGAGCUAACCGGUACUAAUGAACCGUGAGGCUUAACC
rnacentral:rRNA from 1 species